CGGACGGGUGAGUAACGCGUGAGAAUCUACCUUCAGGUUCGGGACAACCACUGGAAACGGUGGCUAAUACCGGAUGUGCCGAGAGGUGAAAGGCUUGCUGCCUGAAGAAGAGCUUGCGUCUGAUUAGCUAGUAGGUGUGGUAAAGGCGCACCUAGGCGACGAUCAGUAGCUGGUCUGAGAGGAUGAUCAGCCACACUGGGACUGAGACACGGCCCAGACUCCUACGGGAGGCAGCAGUGGGGAAUUUUCCGCAAUGGGCGAAAGCCUGACGGAGCAAUACCGCGUGAGGGAGGAAGGCUCUUGGGUUGUAAACCUCUUUUCUCAGGGAAGAAAAAAAUGACGGUACCUGAGGAAUAAGCAUCGGCUAACUCCGUGCCAGCAGCCGCGGUAAUACGGAGGAUGCAAGCGUUAUCCGGAAUGAUUGGGCGUAAAGGGUCCGCAGGUGGCAUUGUAAGUCUGCUGUUAAAGAGUCACGCUCAACGUGAUCAAGGCAGUGGAAACUACAAAGCUAGAGUGUGGUCGGGGCAGAAGGAAUUCCUGGUGUAGCGGUGAAAUGCGUAGAUAUCAGGAAGAACACCGGUGGCGAAGGCGUUCUGCUAGGCCAAGACUGACACUGAGGGACGAAAGCUAGGGGAGCGAAUGGGAUUAGAUACCCCUGUAGUC
rnacentral:rRNA from 1 species